AAGAGGAAGAUUAACAAAUUAGCAGUGGGGUUUCUUCUCUUUAACAAAUAUCAGAAGAAAAGAGAAAUUCCUAUGUCUAGCUGGUGUUUUGUCAGAUGUGUAAAUCUGAUCCAAUGUUGAGGCUGGGCAGUCCGAGACACCUGACUACCUAACUGAGUGACUGGCUGCAAUAAGCACUGGCCCCUGAGGGGCCCCUCAGAAAAUGAGCAUCAGUCCUCAGGGGGUUACAGAGGUUCAACUGGUUAGACUGAGCUUCUUAUAAAACACCAGGGAGUUUUCCCCAGCUUUGUCCCUGCCACAUCACCCAGUAUAAUCUGCCCAAGUUUCAGUGGUCCUGACACAGUCAGCUGACUGGUUUUCAGAGUGGGGGGUUGGGAGGUCAUGCAGAAACCACACAGACAUUUAUAAGGCUUACAUUAUGAAUGGGCUGAUGCAGUUAAGAGCCAUAUUGUGAACAUAAAGGAUCAUAAUUGCACUUGGAUAACUCAAAUCAUGUUGAGAUCAUUUGGCAGCCUGCAGAUUUUCCACACUUUGCUGCUCUCAUCCUCUCUAACGGUGAACAACAAAACAUCUCUCACAGCCCAUAGCAAUUAGUAGAAGUUGGGUAUUCGCCAUAACGCACAAAGACAUGUUUGGUCAUAAACACGUGAUACAUCGUAUCUCAUAGAUAUGUUAAUGUUAAACCACACCAUCAUUGACAAUUAUUGCUUAUCAACUGGACACAGUUUCUUCAUAGGAGACUCUUUCACCGCGAGUAACUUCACGGGACGCAGGCAGCUUGGCUGAACAUGAGGGGCCUCUUAAGAAUAUUUUGGGGCUCCUUUUCACUGACCUGCUGUCAUCAUCGCAACAGAGAGCAGAUAAGAAAGAGAGAAUACAGACGAGACACCAAGACCUGCAUCAAGCAAUAUUCCUUUUGAUAUUUAUGUCCCUGGACCGUGCCUGCCUUUUGGAUUUAGGAUUUUGCCUGCUCCCUAUUGGAUUUGUUUGCCUGUUUGGCUCUGUCUUUGGCAAAGCCUUGGCUGAGGAAGUCCACCAUGCAGAUAUGGAAUUCCAAUGCCAAGAAUAUGAGGAAAAGUUUGUGAGCCUGUAAUCUUCCUGUCCUGAACCAGUUAACCCACUACCAUCCUGAUCCUGUCAGUCCUGAGUUGACUAGCUUCCUGCCUGAUUCCACCUCCAAUGAGUUUCCUUUCUGGAAACCUGGACCUGGCUAGCCCUCGAGAUGGUGGCACAAGAGCACCCAAGAGUCUGCCCAGCAAUACAGAGGCCCAGGCCCCCAGCUCCUCGUUCACCUUUGUCACCAGCCUCCAAAGGGGUUCCUGCCCAUCCUCCACCGCUCAGCAUCCAGGCCAUCAUCCAGAGGUGCUCCGUCCUUAGGUCCUGCCUCCUGGACACCAACCCCCUGGGAUAUGUGUAUGUCUUUUUAACUUUUGUACUGUGUAUUGUCCUUUGUGCUGUCCAUUGCUGUGUUUGACUAUGUCUUAACUUUUGUAUUGUCCUGUGUGCUGUCUUUUGUUGUGUUGCUCUUGGACUGCGAAACAGUUGCCCUCUGGGAUCAUAAAGUUUGAACUUGAACAUGAACAUACAAACACACAGGCUGUGCUCCCCCAGCAGCUGGUUUCAUUAGCUGUUACCUUUCUGUGAACACGACCACAUUUUCCUUGAAAAAUAGUGACUGCAUUUGUUUUCCCACCACUGCUGCUGCAGUUCAGAUUCUGUGGUCCUUGUCUUUUAAAGGGGAGAGACUCAGUUGUGGUGACAAGGGGGGGAUGAAGAUUAGAGGGAAUGCCAGAACUCCACAGCAAAAAUUUGUUGUUGCCAGCAGUGAUGGAAAGCAGACAAGCAGAAACUCCUGCUCAAUGUUUGGACAUAUCUUGAAUCUUGUGUGCUUCCGAGACUUAAUUCCUACGCUUAUUUCUAGGAAUGGCACAUGAUUGCAUGUUGCACAUGUCCAGAUUUACAAAAGAGUAAAGUCUGAGUAUUCCCUCAUGGUGUGUCUUGUUGAUCCAAAAAAACAUAUUCUGUGAGCAGAAUGUUUUAGGGCAUAAAGUUCAUUCAUUGUUUUUUGUACAGCUAGUUCUUAUUGAAAGGCUCACACUGGAGGAUAAAUUUGUUCUUUAUUUAUUCACUGAUCUGAAAACUAAAAUGCUAAAAGUCAUCUUUGUGGAUUCAACAAAACUUGUCCACUAAUAACACAAAGUCACGAGUGAAUGUUUCCUCAGUGACCACAUUGAGAAAAGACCGAUGUUCGUAUGUAUCUUCAUCUAUGUAUGUUCCACUUUGCUAAGUUUGUAUUUAACACAUCUGUCUCAUUCUCAUCUGUCAUACACAAGUGUUAUCGGGGCAACAUGAUGCUGAUAGUUGCACAUUACUGGGUGUCAUAGACAUGUGACUGAAUUUCAGUGUUGCACCAGCUGUCAGCAGGUGCAGUGUAAAUUUUAACAAAACCUUUUACUGCUUUUGUAAUUAGUACUGAGUACUGAAAAGCCAGUGGAUCUCAGAGGGCAAUAAGAAAUUCACAAUGUUGAUAAUUAAAGGGAAUAAAGUUAUGUUGUGUAUUGAGAGAUCUUUAAGAAAGGUUCAUUGCCAAGUUUGAUGAUUAGAAGAAGACUGUGAUUGUGCGUAAUUAUUUCUUUAGAAUCCCAAUUUUUAAAAGGUUUUGGAAAGUCAAGUGAACAUUUUUCUUUGGAAGUCUGAGUCACUUGAGGAUCUGAUCAAUUAGAAAAAAAAGAAAUGGAAACAGCUGUCCUCCUGAGAAGCAGAUAAGCCUUUUUAAGUGUAAUCAAAAAUCAAAGGGUUAGUUACCUGUAAUACAAUUUUCCACUUCAUUGACUUUGUCCAAAUCCUGACUGUUGCUCAAUUCCUUUCCUGCCUUUAAACAGUCGAGUGGGAGUCUCUUUCAGAGAAACUAAUCCACAAACUAAAAGAAUCAUCAUACAACAUGUCUCUUUCUGAGUCAUGUAAAUGGGUUCUGUGUUACGUAAUAUGUUUUGAAUAUUUAGCAAUGCUGGCUUUUUGAUAACAACCAGCUACAAUCCUGUGCUAUUAAAUGUUGUAUGUUGGCUUUAAAUGGCUUUGGGUGCUGAUCUACAACAACCUUUGUGUUUGACAAGUAUAACUGUUAAUAGAAUUGUAAGCCACGUGGGACAGUUAGUUCAGCUGAACAAUAUCAAUAAAAAUGUCGGGCUGGUCACCACUAGUGGCAACGCAGAGAGAGCAUUGUUUUGACGGGCGCCUUGCCGGUAUAGAGUACACCGUGUCUACAGAGGCUGCGUAGUGAAAGCAGCACAUCAGCAGGGCAGCAGUAGAGUCCAACACACAAGUGUUGUAGUUCUACUCAUGAAACAGAACUUAAAGCGUAAAACAAGUGAAACAUGAGCCUGUGUAAACAGGUGUAUUGCUUAAAAACACAUCUGUUCUAGCAGAUGUGUGUGACAUCGAUGACAAAAACAGGGGUGAAAGGGCUUCUGUGAAGACAAGCAGUCACAUUUAAUGCUUGUACCUCAGUUACUGUAGAUAUGACAGCUUCUCUAGAUGUAUUCUUGUACAAGCUGCUUUGUUUAUCUUGUACUUAAUCAUCGCAUAAUGCCAUUAAAACUAAUUUUGAGU